AGUGAACGCUGGCGGUAGGCCUAACACAUGCAAGUCGAACGGCAGCACAGUAAGAGCUUGCUCUUACGGGUGGCGAGUGGCGGACGGGUGAGGAAUACAUCGGAAUCUACUUUUUCGUGGGGGAUAACGUAGGGAAACUUACGCUAAUACCGCAUACGACCUACGGGCGAAAGCAGGGGAUCUUCGGACCUUGCGCGAUUGAAUGAGCCGAUGUCGGAUUAGCUAGUUGGCGGGGUAAAGGCCCACCAAGGCGACGAUCCGUAGCUGGUCUGAGAGGAUGAUCAGCCACACUGGAACUGAGACACGGUCCAGACUCCUACGGGAGGCAGCAGUGGGGAAUAUUGGACAAUGGGCGCAAGCCUGAUCCAGCCAUACCGCGUGGGUGAAGAAGGACUUCGGGUUGUAAAGCCCUUUUGUUGGGAAAGAAAAGCAGCAGGUUAAUACCCCGCUGUUCUGACGGUACCCAAAGAAUAAGCACCGGCUAACUUCGUG
rnacentral:rRNA from 1 species